rnacentral:rRNA from 1 species
UGGGGAAUAUUGGACAAUGGGCGCAAGCCUGAUCCAGCCAUGCCGCGUGAGUGAUGAAGGCCUUAGGGUUGUAAAGCUCUUUCGCCGGUGAAGAUAAUGACGGUAACCGGAGAAGAAGCCCCGGCUAACUUCGUGCCAGCAGCCGCGGUAAUACGAAGGGGGCUAGCGUUGCUCGGAAUCACUGGGCGUAAAAGCGCACGUAGGCGGAUCGUUAAAGUCCAGGGGGUGAAAAUCCUGGAGCUCAAACUCCAGAAACUGCCCUUGAUACUGGCGAUCUCGAGUUCGAGAGAGGUUGGUGGAACUCCGAGUGUAGAAGGUGAAAUUCGUAGAUAUUCGGAAGAACACCAGUGGCGAAGGCGGCCAAACUGGCUCGAUACUGACGCUGAGGUGCGAAAGCGUGGGGAGCAAAACAGGAUUAGAUACCCUGGUAGUCCACGCCGUAAAACGAUGGAUGCUAGCCGUUGGGGGGUUUACCUCUCAGUGGCGCAGCUAACGCCUUAAAGCAUCCCGCCUGGGGAGUACGGUCGCAAGAUUAAAAACUU